rnacentral:rRNA from 1 species
GAAAAUUGGUGAUUUAUAAUAACUUAGCAAAUCGCAUAGUGAAAACAGGCGAUAAAUCAUUCAAGUUUCUGAUUUUUCUCCUUUUUACGGUAUGGUAUUGGCUUACCGUGGCAGUGACGGUUAACGGGGGAUUAGGGUUCGAUUCCGGAGAGGGAGCCUGAGAAACGGCUACCACAUCUAAGGAAGGCAGCAGGCGCGCAAAUUACCCAAUUCUAACAGUUUGAGAGAGGUAGUAACAAGAAAUAACAAUACAAGGCAGUUAAAAUGCUUUGUAAUUGGAAUGAUAGAAAUUUAAACCCUUUUUAAAGUAUCAAUUGGAGGGCAAGUCUGGUGCCAGCAGCCGCGGUAAUUCCAGCUCCAAUAGCGUAUAUUAAAAUUGUUGCAGUUAAAAAGCUCGUAGUUGAAGUUCUGCUGAAAGUAACCGGUCUGCUUUUAAUAAAAGUGGUAUCUUGGUAUGUAUUUAGCAAUGAUGUCCUUUGAAGUGUUUUUUACUUUAUUGUAAUAAAGCAUAUUCAGGACUUUUACUUUGAGAAAAUUAGAGUGUUUCUAGCAGGCUGACGCUUUGAAUACUGC